AUGGAGUCUGCGGUGUUCAAGGCCCUUGUUCAGUUCAUCUACACCGACACUGUGCCAGAAUUCAGACAACAGGAGUGGGACGGGGAGGCCAUAUACACUGACUCUGCGCCAAAAUUAGAACAGCAGGAGGAGGCUGAUACAAAGGCGGGGACAGUCAUGACCCAACAUCUGCUUGCCGCUGCUGACAGGUAUGGACUGGACAGGCUCAAGCUCAUAUGCGCCUUAAAGCUCUCCGGUGGCAUCAACGUGGACACUGCGGCGACAACUUUAACUUUAGCCGAGCAACACAACUGCCCAGAGCUCAAGGCAAGGUGUGUUCAGUUCAUUAUCAAAACUUCUGCCACUCUUGAUGCUGUGUUGGCGACAGAGGGGUACAAGCACCUGGAGGCAAGCUGCCCUCUUGUGGUGAUUGACCUUCUCAGGUCUGCGCGUGGGAGUAAAAAUUGA
rnacentral:rRNA from 1 species